CAGUAGCCGCGGGAAUACGAGGGGGGCAAGCGUUGUUCGGAAUUAUUGGGCGUAAAGGGUGCGUAGGCGGUUCAGCAAGUCUCGUGUGAAAUCUUCGGGCUCAACCCGAAGUCUGCACGGGAAACUACUGGGCUUGAGUAAUGGAGAGGUGAGUGGAAUUUCCGGUGUAGCGGUGAAAUGCGUAGAUAUCGGAAGGAACACCUGUAGUGAAAGCGGCUCACUGGACAUUUACUGACGCUGAUGCACGAAAGCUAGGGGAGCAAACAGGAUUAGAUACCCGAGUAGUCCCUGUCUCUUAUAC
rnacentral:rRNA from 1 species